rnacentral:rRNA from 1 species
GAUGAACGCUGGCGGCGUGCCUAAUACAUGCAAGUCGAGCGAACAGACGCGGAGCUUGCUCCUCUGACGUUAGCGGCGGACGGGUGAGUAACACGUGGAUAACCUACCUAUACGACUGGGAUAACUUCGGGAAACCGGAGCUAAUACCGGCUAAUAUCUUGAACCGCAUUGUUCAAUAGUGAAAGACGGUUUUGCUGUCUCUUAUAGAUGGAUCCGCGCCGCAUUAGCUAGUUGGUAAGGUAACGGCUUACCAAGGCAACGAUGCGUAGCCGACCUGAGAGGGUGAUCGGCCACACUGGAACUGAGACACGGUCCAGACUCCUACGGGAGGCAGCAGUAGGGAAUCUUCCGCAAUGGGCGAAAGCUUGACGGAGCAACGCCGCGUGAGUGAUGAAGGUCUUCGGAUCGUAAAACUCUGUUAUUAGGGAAGAACAAAUGUGUAAGUAACUAUGCACGUCUUGACGGUACCUAAUCAGAAAGCCACGGCUAACUACGUG